rnacentral:tRNA from 1 species
ACGUGGCCUAGUGGUCUCGUGUCCGGCUGCAACGCCGGAGACAGUGGGUUUAAUCCCGG